UGAGGAAUAUUGGACAAUGGUGGGAACACUGAUCCAGCCAUGCCGCGUGCAGGAAGACGGUCUUAUGGAUUGUAAACUGCUUUUCUAGAGGAAGAAUAAGGACUACGUGUAGUUUGAUGACGGUACUUUAGGAAUAAGCAUCGGCUAACUCCGUGCCAGCAGCCGCGGUAAUACGGAGGAUGCAAGCGUUAUCCGGAAUCAUUGGGUUUAAAGGGUCCGUAGGCUGAAUAUUAAGUCAGAGGUGAAAUGUUGCCGCUUAACGGUAGAAUGUCCUUUGAUACUGGUAUUCUUGAAUAAUUGUGAAGUGGUUAGAAUGUGUAGUGUAGCGGUGAAAUGCAUAGAUAUUACACAGAAUACCGAUUGCGAAGGCAGAUCACUAACAAUGUAUUGACGCUGAUGGACGAAAGCGUGGGUAGCGAACAGGAUUAGAUACCCGUGUAGUCC
rnacentral:rRNA from 1 species